CAAGAUUUCUCAUAUCCCAACAAUGUUUAUCGAGGGUACAUAUAUAAAGGUAUGUUGGGAUUUAAAUUUCAUGUCAUUUAAUAAUAACCAAUAAGAUUAUUAGUGAGAUUACAAAUACGAUUAAAGCUAAAACACUCUUUAUUUUAUUAAAACAUUUUAUAAAAGAGAUGAUUAUUGUAAUAAAAUAAAUGAUUAUUUGUUUUUUUCUACUUUAAUCUAAAUUUAAUUCCGUACACUAUCACAUCAUAUUAUUAAUUACCAAAAUGAUGAAUGAAUUACUUUUUUAUUAACAAAAUAAUUUAAUAAAAUAUUUUAAUAAUGAUAAUUUACAUUUUUUUGGGAAGGCAGCUAAAAGAUAUGAUAAUGAUUGGUUCCACUUAUUUUUUACAUGAAUUACUUUAAUUUUGUGGAUGGUAAAUAACUUAUUUGCUUUGAAACUAAUACCGAAUUAGCUUUUAUGAUGUAUCCUUUUGUUAACAAAAUAUAUACCGAUUUAACAAAGUUUAUCAAUGAUAAAAUUAAUAGCCAUCUAUAUAGUAUUAUUUUUCUUAAAAUCACCAACUUUAUAUACAAUUAUGAUACUUGAAAACAAACCACUAAAUCAAUCGUGGUAAAACUCACAGGCAUUCAUAUAUAUAUAUAUGAAUUUAAUGAUAAUUCAUUAAAAAUUAUAAUUUAUAAUCUUGAAAUCAAUAAUUUAAAUUGAUAUUAGACAUUAUUAACUAUCAAAAUUAUAUCUUGAUGACUAGAUUACUUUCUUAUGAAUAAAAUAAUUUAAUCAAAUAUUUUUAUGAUGCUUAAAAUUUUUUAAUUUUUUAAGGCUGCUAAAUUCUUGAAAAUACAAUAAUAAUUGGUUCCACAAAUUUUUAGCUUUUCACAUGCUUAUUGUAUUCAUUGAAUUGAAUAUGCUUUCUAUACAACUAAUACUACAUUCAACAUAAAUCAUGAUAUUUUUAGAAACUAUGAAGCAAUCCUAUUUUCCUGACAUUUUUUCUCUACUCAGUUACAUUCAUUCUGCAUUUUGUAGUUUAGCGUUGUUUAUAUUUCCAAAACUAAUACCAAGUUGGCUAUUUUAACCAUCACAGUACGGUCAGAUCUCGUAAGACUGAAGGAAGCCAUGGAAUGGUUAUUUGAAGUUUAUUCAGAAUAGUGUUUGUCAGGUUGGAUAAAUGUGUGACCUGCACAAUUUUCCUUACAUUUUUUCUCUACUCAGUCCAUUCAUUCUGCAUUUCGUAGUUUAUAUUUCCAAAACUAAUACCAGGUUCGCUAUUUUAACUGUCAUAUGUGCAGUCGGACCUCAAAGACUCGGACCUCGAAGACUGAAGGAAGCCAUGGAAUGGGUUAUUUGAAGCUUAUGUAGAAUAAUGUUUGUCAGGCUGGAUAAAUGUGUGACCUCUACAAUUUUCUCGUAUCUUUAUGAGAAAGUAUACUUGUCAAAAUGUAAGAAAAUGAAUGGAGCUGGCAGCUUAUCCCGAAGAUAGAAGAGUUUAAUAUAGAUAUGGAUGUGAAUUCGAAUGUGUAACUUCUAUUAUUUUAUAUUUGAUUUUGUUAGUUAACUUUAAAGUAUUUGAUUUUAAUGAGGUUAUAUAUGUUGAUGAAUAGAUGAUUAUGCUCUUGCAGAAAGAGAAUGUUCUUAUUGAAUAUAUGUUGAUGAUGUUCUUGUUGAACAA
rnacentral:lncRNA from 1 species